UAUUCCUGCGAAACGGACAGAUAGGACUUUCCUUUAAACCGAAAAUGGGUGAUGCACUUCUUUUUUGGAGUAUGAAACCUGAUGGUUCUCUGGAUAAAUCCAGUUUGCAUGGUGGUUGCCCUGUUAUUAAGGGGAACAAACAGUCAUCUACUAAGUGGUUGCGUGUGCAUGAGUACAAAGUUUGAGAUACUGAGCAGAAGGUCCAAAAGUUCGUAAAUUCCUACUGCUGUAACAUGUCUGAAUUCUCAGGUGAAGGCCCCAUCUUCCGGGUCUCAUGUCCACCUUUCACGUCAGCAACCAGCAUGCCAUGACUCGCAAUUUUGUAUUGUCUUUGUAGUUCUACCGUAGUACAGAAUGAUCGGCUGUACAGCAAUUCACCUUUCUUCCUCACUUCCUUCCCCUCUUUCUGGGAAUCAGAUGAGCAUAAGAACAUGAGGAUGCUGAUGAGUGCUAUUAUCAUGAACUUUUGAAAGCUAUGGGUGGCGCGUUUUGCAUUCCCCACCCGCCCUUUAUAUACUGAGUCCGAUAUCAUCACAUGAGUUGUGAAUAGUCAUUUGCUGUUCUAGCCAA